UUCAUGAGCUACUCUUUUCAAUUAGCAGCAAGGGUUUUGUAUGCACCAUCCCAUAGACAGGAUAGUACAUACCUUUUAUAUACCAGUCAUGGUGCACUGGCUGAAAUGAGAAAUAACCCAAUGGGUGUUAUGGGUGAAGUCCAGAAUAAUCAAGCUAAAGGUCUUUGGCAUCAGAUUUAAGAAACUAUGUGUAUUUGAGAUAAUGUACUUUACGGCCCUGACAGCUUUUAACAUUAAGUAGGCUAUAGUUCCAACAUAUACAUGGUACUCGCAGGGAAAAAAAAAAUUGCACGUGGACCAACUUGUUAAGAAGGAAUCGCUAUGGAAAAAAAUAAUACAUGAGGGGGAAGGGAGGCACUUCAGUAUUUUGGGGGGGAGACGGAUCCCCUGGACCCCCUUUUGGUUCUGCCUCUGAUAAUUGUACAAAACUAAUAACCCAGCUAAAUAUAGAAUUGUAUUAAAAAAGGUAUGGAGUCUGUAACUUUGAUAUUUCACACCCAUUACUAUAUGAAUAUUUACCACCUAUUUGACAUACGGGCUUCAAAUGUUCACUGAAGGUGGCAAAUAUUCAUAUAGUAAUGAGUGUAAAAUAACAAAGUUAUAGUCCUCAUACUGUUUUAAUAAUUCCAUAUUCAAUACUAUAGCAUUAUACAAAUGUAGUUCUUUUUGGGGGUCACCCGAUAUGCAGUACAGUUACAGGAACUUUUUUCAGUGAGUAUAUAAAGAGGACUUGAAUAGGCUUCAGCUACAUGAUCUCUUGUUCUUUGUUUGGCUGGACAUUACAGUGUGGUUAACUGGUUCUGUUAAACAUUCCUUUUAUCAGAAACGUUUCUGUGUGAUCAUUAAUUAUAUUGUUACAUAUGUAGGCCAGUGGCCUAUAAUAUAAUCAACAAACUGUUAUGCAAUAAUUGCUAGAAUGUAUUUAUUUAACAACCCAUAGGUUUAAACUGCAAUACUGAUAAAAGCUACAAUGUAUUUAACCGUCCAUAAUAUAAAGCUACAAUGUAUUUACUUAACCGUCCAUAUAUUUUAAUUAUACCCGGUAAUUGAAAUGUAUUUAAAUGCAGAAAGUCCCUUAAAUUUGAUUAAGUGUUGCUAUGUAAAUGUACAUUGCCUGUCUUGAGAAUAGAUUUUGUUGAUACUUUAUGACACCAUGUUGCAACAAAAGCUGCACAAAUGAAAAAUGCAAUGAUAUAUAUGGAAAACAGCCAUACACUUUAAACUAUGUAGAUGUAAUUUUGUAUUACUAAAAUACAACUGUUUUAAAGGUGUUUUUUUCCUUGUCUUUUUUUUGGUUGUUCAUUGAGCAUUGGUAUAAUUUGUGGAAACGUGAUGCUUUGUAAACAAUAAAACCUUUCAAGAUGGUCUUAUUCAAACAUCUAAAAACUUGAUCGUGCAAGUCCAGUUUUGUUAAUUUGCACAUCAAAAUGUACAAUAUUAUUAUUACAAUACAAUAUUAUUUAUGUGGUCAGUAAUGUUUUAUGCAAAUGUUCAAUUCUCAGACACCUGUUGCAGAACUAAUUAAUUUAUUCCUAAGUUAUUAAAUGUUUAAUUACCUGAAUGCAAAGAAGUCCAUUUGAUGCCCAUCAUUUGUCCACACAAUGCUAACAAGUUGAUAAUGAUAUUUCACUUGAUGUGGACCGAAUACCUUCAGGUUAAUACAAUUGGUUUCCCCCACAUCUGCUUACUAGCUCAAUGUUCACAUUGUUACUUGAGGUCCACCUUGUUUUACUCAGGUCCAUCCAACACCUCAAGAUCUACUUCAUGUUGUUCUGAAAAUGUCUGUACGCCCGUAGUCAUACCUCUUGACCCACUUGGCUUUUAGGGGGUCCACGUGCUGCCUUAGGUCCAUGCAUGUCUUACUUAAACCUACCACACAUGCAUGUCUUAGAUCCACACAAUGCCUUAGGUCUACGUUUUGCCUUGUUUAGAUCCACGUAAUGUCUUUCUUAGGCUCCCAUUUGCCUUUUCUAGGUUCACAUCAUGCCUUCCUUAGGUCCACGUGCCAUUUCUAGGUCCACAUAAAAACUUUCUUAGGCUGACAUAAUGUUAUUUCUAGGUCCACAUAAAACCUUUCUUAGGUUGACAUAAUGCCAUGUCUAGGUCCACAUAAAACCUUUCUUAGGUUGACAUAAUGCCUUUUCUAGGUCCACAUACAACCUUUCUUAGGUUGACAUAAUGCCAUGUCUAGGUCCACAUAAAACCUUUCUCAGGUUGACAUAAUGCCUUUUCUAGGUCCACACACCUUUCUUAGGUUGACAUAAUGACUUUUCUAGGUCCAUAUGGUAAUGCCUUUCUUAGGUCAUUAGUAUUGGUAAUAUAUUUUUUUCCAAACUGGAAUUGUUUUCUAACACUGCCAAUGUGAUUUCAUAAAAUAAUGUUUCAUAUUUUCCACACUGUUUUUCACUGUCAGAUUUAAAUGAUAGUUUUUUCAGAUACGUUUAUAUUAAUUAUUUUAGAAAAUAUGAAAUGUUACUGUUUUGACCUCAAUAAUUGCAUUCUUACAGUCCCAAAAUGAUGAUGGGCAGCUGAAUUACAGUUAUCUGUCCUUAGUAUACUCUCGCAGAUGAACUAGGAUGAGAAGGGCAGAUAACUUCUGUAAAGUUUAUGAGCAGAUAACUUCUGUAGAGUUUAUGAGUUACGGUAUUAAUAAAAGUUCUAUAGCCACUGUGCUAUGUAUAAAUAUGAACCAUAAAUAAUUGUGACCUGUGACCAUGCUUUGAAUUCAUAAACGUUGAUGUAUUAUGCUUAUCAACAUACUUAAAGUAGGUAGAUAUAUAAGUAUUAUAUGUCAACAUAAAUACGUUUAUGAUUACAGAGCUAGAUGAACAAUAAUAAGGGCAGAUAACUUCAAUAGAUUUAAUGGGCAGAUAAUUUACUGUAGUUAUGUACAUAGCAUCAUCGCGUUUUUCCACUAUUUUGUGAACCUACGGUGACUUGAGAUUUCGCACACUGUUUAUUUCAUUAUCCGUCCCAUGCGUGUAUUUGACACCACAACAAUUUUUUUUUUUUUUUUUUUUUUUUUUUUAUAAUGAUGUGAGAAUACUGUACAUGUAAGUAGCUAGAUACAAAAAUACAACUGUAAGGAAAUUCAAUAGCGGCGACAGUGGAUUGAAUAAAACGAUAGAACAUUA